rnacentral:lncRNA from 1 species
UGGAAGGAAGGUAUGGCUUUGAAAAAAGGGAAUGAUUGAGUGGAAAGAAUUGAAGAGUUUUGGUUAGGAGGAUUUUGGAGGGUUUGUUUUUAUUCAUAACAUCAAAAAUCCCCUAAUUUAGAGGAACUCAAAAUGUGUAUGAAUGAGCGUUUUGAAGGGCUUACAUAAAUCUUACAUAAAUUUUUCAAUUAUGUUUAUAAUAUUCUGAAAAUUAAAAAUAUAUUAAUGAUAAACACUCUUUUAUCAUUCUAUAUAAAAUUAUUCUUUCAAAAAAUGUCAAAUAUUUUUUAAAAAUUCGUUUUCGAAAGUCUUCC